GGCGGUCGAAUAGGUUGAGGAACCCAGCCAUGCAUCCCAUUUGCCGUUCGAAAUGCUUCCGGUCGACAAGUCCCCGUCCGGCGCCCGUUGCCAUCACCUUCACCACCUCCUUCGGAGAUGCUCCUCCGCUCUAUGGUAAGGCUGGUCGCCCGACCUCCCGCUUUAUCAGAGCAUUUAAAGCUUACUCGACCGUCCUAAUGACGACAUCGCUCCCAGGCCACGGCUCCGUCUCUUGACCGAGAAGGAAGGUACGUUCUCUCCCAUGUAACAAUAGACCCCACAACUCCGACCUUCAGUCCCACCAUUAGUACCAUGGGAAACCUUGUUCCCUGUUUUGGAUGAGACGGGUGAUCCGUGGACUUCUCCCUCGAUCCAACAAGACGAACUCAGCUACAUAGGAGCAGUCUACAUUCUUUCACCUACCUUUACCGCGUCUCGCAUAUAUAACGGCCAGUCAGGUGGGGCCUAAAACGGGCCGCGUUGUUGCUGCCGAUCAUCUGGCCGGUAGGAACGGGGUUCGUCCAGUAACAGCAGGGGAAAGCGUCCUCGUCCCCUCAGGCUUUCAUGCGUCACACGCGCAGGGAGGGAGGCCGUGCGCUGCCUUCGGCUCGACGCGGAGGCUUUGAUCCGGAAAAGGACGGGAGUCCUACGCCUCCUUCAUACAGAAAAUUCUAAUCAAUUAUUAUUAUUCAGAAUUAACAACAAUUAAUAAAAUUUCGAUCGUCUAAGACAUUUCAAAAAAUAUUAAUUAAAGUUAAAAUUCAACGGUCAGUUAGUUGGAAAUUAGGAUGCUAAGCUUAAAUUUGGCAUAAUAAAUAUGAAAAUUAGGAUGUACAAAAAUGAGUUUGCUUUUAAUUUAUUUCUCGUUCAUACCCAGAGAAUUCUCGUUCUUUUGAGUCGUUUGGUGAAAAUAUUUUGUUUGGAUUUGGUGUUGAAUGAUAGGUGAUAUAGUCAAACCCAAUGGAAUUUGAUUGAAGUGGAUUGUGUUAAUAAUG